UACGUAGGGGGCAAGCGUUUGUCCGGAUUUAUUGGGCGUAAAGAGCGUGUAGGCGGCCUGGUAGGUCGGUUGUGAAAACUCGAGGCUCAACCUCGAGACGUCGACCGAAACCACCUGGCUAGAGUCCGGAAGAGGAGAGUGGAAUUCCUGGUGUAGCGGUGAAAUGCGCAGAUAUCAGGAAGAACACCCGUGGCGAAGGCGGCUCUCUGGGACGGUACUGACGCUGAGACGCGAAAGCGUGGGGAGCGAACAGG
rnacentral:rRNA from 1 species